AGUUCUCAAACAAUCAUAACAUUAAGUUGACGAUUGUAAAGCUCAGAAUCUCUUACGGAAUCCUUACAUUACAUAUAUCGGGUUCUCUCUGUCUCUCCGUCUCGUAGCAGAGAAGCAGCAUGGAGAAGCACACUUUGUCUGUGACUCUGCCUCUGGAAUUGAUCAGAGAAAUUCUUCUGCGAUCGCCGGUGAGAUCCGUUCUUCGUUUCAAGUGUGUUUGUAAGUCAUGGCUUUCCCUAAUUUCAGAUCCCCAAUUUAGCAUUUCCCAUUUUGACCUAGCUGCCUCACCCACCCAUCGACUCAUUCUCAGAUCAAAUUAUUAUGAUAACUUUAACUAUAUUGAAUCCAUUGAUAUUGAAAGUCUGAUUAAAACAUGUCGCCAGCACAUAGUGUAUUUUCCAUCACCUCCACGCGACCACCAUGAUGAUGGUGAAUAUUAUGAUGUUCACAAUCAACCCCAGAUUUUGGGUUCUUGCAGAGGGCUUGUACUUUUACACUACUGGGGGAGCAGCGAAGAACUCAUCUUAUGGAAUCCCUCACUAGGCGUCCACAAACGAUUCCCAAAAACAUACUUUCCAUAUGGGAUACACGACGAAUAUGUAUAUGGUUUCGGGUUUGACGCAUCAACAGAUGACUACGGGCUAAUUCUUAUUGAAUUUCCCGAGUUUAGCUUCGGCGAAACUGCAGUCUUCCUUUUCUCCUUCAAAACUGGGUCGUGGAAAAGAGACAUUCUUGUUAGUGCUUCAUACAACGAUCUCGAUGAUAUAUUCAGUGUUGGGGAUGAAUUCAAAGCUGGGUCACUCCUCAAUGGGGUUCUUCAUUGGCUGGUUUUCUCGAAGGAAAGAAAGGUUCCCGUGAUUAUUGCCUUUGAUUUGAUACAAAGGAGUUUUUCAGAGAUUCCUCUGUUCAAUCAUUUGACUACGGAAAAUUAUCAUGUCUGCAGAUUGAGGGUAGUGGGAGGAUGCCUCUGCCUCAUGGUCCUAGGCUGCGAAGCGGCUGAGAUAUGGGUGAUGAAAGAAUAUAAAAUGCAAUCAUCUUGGACUAAGUCCACUGUUAUCCCUACUUUUGACUUCUACCCGAUAUGCGCCGCUGAAGAUGGUGGAAUUUUUGGAUCAAAUUGUGAAGGAUUAGUGAAACACGAUGACAAUGGAGAGCUGUUUGACUAUCACAUCAGUGCUGAAGGUCAAAGGUUGUACUGUGCCAAUCCUGCUAUGUAUCAAGAGAGUCUACUGUCCCUCCCCUGUGCCAAUCGGAAUGAAACAAGGGAAGAUGACCAACAUUAACAGAAGAAUUAGGGUAUGCAUUGUUCUCCAAUCCUUUUCACCAUUAUAUUCCUAUUCAUUUUGUCUUAUGGGAAAUAAAAGUUAUAUAUGCAGAAUAAGUGGUAUGUGUAAAAUCAGCUUUUAUCUAUGUCCUAUAUUGAGAAGACUGAACUUUAAUUCUCCCACACCUUUUGGUUUCUACAUUUUGGUAUUUCCCAUUAUGACAUAGCUGGCAUACCAACACAUCGACUCCUUCUCACACCAAACACGGUUUAUGCUCAAUCCAUUGAUAUAGAAGCACUGCUUAACAAAGAUUCUGUUCCCGUGCGUUUCCUUUCCCCCACGCAAUCCCUUUGUUCAAUCUCUUAACAAUCAACCUCAUAUUUUGAGUUCAUGCAGAGGGCUCAUACUUUUAUACCACGAGAGAAGUGGUGAUCUCAUUAUGUGGAAUCCAAUUAUACGUGUCUACAAAUGAUUAUCAGAUUUUAAAGUUAUGUUAACCAAAAAGUUUCAAUAUGGUUUAGUGUAUGAUGAGUUAACAGAUGAUUAGUCUACUUGCUUGUUAUUAUUUCAACUGUUCUCUGAUUCUCUUGAUGAAUGCAAACCUGAAAUCCAAGUUUUCUCAUUCAAAACCAAUUUAAGGAGCAGAUACAAUAUUAAUGUUCCAUAUAAGCAUCUCGGCCUGGAAUUCGGAGCUGGGUCAUUCUUGAAUGUAGCUCUUCAUUGGUUGGUUUUCUGCGAUGAUAAAAAAGUUCCCUUCCUUGCUUCCUUUGAUCUCAUACAAAGGACUUUAUCAGAGAUUCCUCUGUUUGAUCAGUUCACUAGGAAAAGAUACCAAGUUUAUGGUUUAAGGUUAACGGGGAAUGUCUCUGUGUGUGUUGCUUCGUCCAACGCCAUGCAAUGACUCAAAUAUGGGUGAUGGAAGAAUAUAAAGUGCAGUCAUCUUAAACUAGGUCCAUUGUUAUCGUAACUACUAACAUUCCUCACAAUCUCUUUUCCCCGAUAUGCAUCCCCAAAGAUGGUGGAAUUUUGGGAUCAAAUAGGAGGGGAAGAUUAGAGAAACUUAAUGAUAAAGGAGAGCUGCUUGAGCAUUCCAAAUUUGGUCGAGAUGAAUACAAUUACAAAGCCAACCUACAGGUUGCUAUGUAUAGAGAGAGUCUAAUGCCGCUCCCAACUGUCAUUUGUUCUAAGAGGUGGAGAUGACCAAGUACAGUAACAAACAGGUACGAAUUGUUCUCCAAUUGUUUUCGCCAUUAUACUGUUAUCCACCUUGCAUUAUGAGAAUUGAAAAGUUAUGUACAGAAUGAGCAGUAUGUGAAAAAUCUUUCUUUCACCUAUUAUUUACUAUCCCCAUCCUUGCUAAUGGUACUUAUUUUAUAUAUAUAUUAAAAUUAAAUGGUACAUGAGAUUGGAUGGAAAGAUGAGGUUUGGUGUUGACUUCAGUUUGGUUAGAUAAAAUAUUUGAUGUCUUGAUUACACAAAAGCCAAAAUAAUCAAAGGCAAUUUGAGUGGAAAAUUGUACAAGGAAGGCGACUAAUGUUGACAGUGAAACAGCCCUGAAAUAUGCAAUACUAUAUACAAUUACUUUGAUGCCACCAGAAGGCAUACAAUUUGGAAGAGAAUGGCUCUUAUGAUAUUAAAUCAUCUAGUUUAGUGCAGAACUAGUAUUUGUUUUAGUGAUUUCAGUAAAGUUGGAGUGUCAUCAGACGUUACAAUUUAACUGUAUUUUAAAGUUGAAGUUUGCAAAUCUUAGUUGUACAUGCUAUUUAGUGCCUGUAUGUUUUUUCCUUCUAAUGUUAUUAUGUUUGCAGUUUGUUUCU